rnacentral:sRNA from 1 species
GCUGGGCAUGGUGGUGCAUGCCUGUAAUCCCAGCAGCUCCUUAGGCUGAGGCAGGAGGAUUGCAUGAACAAAACUAGCCUCAGCAAAAGCAAGGUGCUAAGCAACUCAGUGAGACCCUGUCUCCA